UCUUCAAUUCCCUAUUAUCAUAUCAACAGAAAAAAAAAAUGAAGAGGGGUAUAGCAUUAUCCCUUGUAAUGGUUUGUUUGGUUUUAGGGCUUUUGAUUGAACCAAACUUUGCACAGUUCUCACAAAAAUGUUAUGAGAAGUGUUUUCAUGAUUGUGCUUCGGAACCCAAACUCAUUAGAUUUUGUGUAAUUCAAUGUACAUUAGAGUGUGCAAAACAGAGCAAGGUUGACAUCAGCACCGAAUAUAAUCUUGCUUCAGACAAAGUGGAAGCUUGCUUGAAGGCAUGCUCACAGAGUGACAAGAACUGAUCAAUCACCUUACUAAGAGCAAAUACUGAUUAUUGUUGUUAAAUAAUAAUUGCUUUGUUAAAUUUACAAAUAAUGGCAUGAGUAAAAUCUUUAUCUUUAUCUA